UACAGAGGUCCCAAGCGUUGUUCGGAUUCACUGGGCGUAAAGGGUGCGUAGGCGGUCGGGUAAGUCUGAUGUGAAAUCUCACAGCUUAACUGUGAAACUGCAUUGGAUACUAUCCGGCUAGAGGAAUGGAGGGGAGACUGGAAUACUUGGUGUAGCAGUGAAAUGCGUAGAGAUCCGGAGGAACACCGACGGCGUAGGCAGCGCCCUGGACGACACCUGACGCUGAGGCACGAAAGCUGGGGGAGCGAACAGG
rnacentral:rRNA from 1 species